rnacentral:misc_RNA from 1 species
AAGGAUAAAAAACCGUAAACGGGCCGAGGAUAUCUCAGUCAGCAUCUCCGAACAUGGCUGAAAUAAAAUUGGACAUUCCGGUGGAUGCCGCGGAGGAAACCGAUGUCUGCCGGAUUGACAUGCAGACGGCCAUUCUGGAUGUUUCUGACGCAACGCAAACAAACGGCAAGCCAACACCCGUCAAUUAUGCGAACAUUGUUCAGCAGACACGCGAUGCGUUUAAUAGCGGCAAAACACGACCAUUGGAAUGGAGAGUCAAGCAACUGAAACAAGUGAUACGUAUGCUAAAGGAAACUUCCUCCGAUAUUAUAGCAGCACUCGCCUCAGACUUGCGCAGAAAUAAACAUGAAACGAUUAUGCUGGAAAUCAAUUAUAUGAUCGAAGAGAUCAGCUACAUGCUUAUGCACAUUAAAGAAUGGGCGUCGCCAGAUAAGCCACCGAAGGGACUGGCAAACCUGUUCGAUGGAUUGGAAAUUCGGAAGGACCCUUACGGAGUUGUAUUGGUCAUUGGUGCGUGGAAUUAUCCUCUUCAACUGACCAUACUACCUAUGGUCGGCGCCAUAGCUGCUGGAAAUUGCGUGAUAGCGAAACCAUCCGAGGUGGCACCGGCUACGGCGCAAUAUGUGUGUGACACCCUUCCAAAAUACAUAGAUAUGGAAUGUUGCCGCGUAGUAACAGGAGGAAUUCCGGAAACGGCGGAACUACUCAAGGAACGUUUCGAUUAUAUCUUUUACACCGGAUCCACCAUGGUGGGAAAAAUCGUGCGGGAAGCUGCCAACAAGUAUCUCACGCCCGUUACAUUAGAGCUGGGCGGCAAGAGCCCCGUAUACAUAGAUAACACAGUGGAUAUGAAUCUGGCGGUAAAACGUAUCUUGUGGGGCAAAUGCAUUAACGUUGGUCAAACGUGCAUCGCACCCGAUUACGUUCUGUGCACACCGGAGGUACAGGACAAAUUCAUCAAUGAGGCUAGAAAGAUCAUAAAGGAGUGGUACGGCGAAAAUCCACGAGAAAGCACCGACAUGGCGCGCAUAAUCACGGAUAAACAUUAUCAACGGCUUACCAGUUUCUUAAACGGCAAUAAUGGCAAGAUCGCGCUGGGCGGUGAUGUAAAUCCUAGGGAGAAAUACAUCGCGCCCACGGUACUGAUUGACGUCAAACCGACAGAUCCCAUUAUGCAGGAGGAAAUCUUUGGACCAAUAUUGCCUAUAAUAAAUAUUAAUAACGCGUACGAAGCAAUUAAAUUUAUCAAUAACGGUGAAAAUCCACUCGUACUGUACGUAUUUUCCACGAGCAAAGAUGUGCAAGAACUCUUUAUAGAUCAAGUGCGCUGCGGAACCGUGUGCGUCAACGACACGGUGUUGCAAUAUUGCGAGAGAAGCCAUUAGUACUAUAUAUAUUUAGCCAAGAUAAAGGGACUAUAUCUGUGAUCAUUGAAAAUACAUCUAGUGGGGAUGUUCUUGUGAAUGAUACAAUGAUACAUGCGACAGUUGAGACUUUACCCUUCGGAGGGGUAGGAUAUUCCGGUAUGGGAGCCUACCAUG